CACAUUUUUUUUGUUUCUAAAGUCUUUCCAUAAUUAUUAAAGAAUUUAAGCAAAGCAUUAUUGAAACUAUAGUUUCAAAAGCUUCCUAAACAUGGCUAAACAUUUAGGGUUCUUCAUCUUUCUCAUUGUGGUGCUAACAUUUUCGAAUUUCAAACGUGUUGAAUGUGGAAUCCUCAAACGUGUUCAUCGACGAGGGUAUGCAAAUUUGGCCACCCUUGGAGUUGUGUGCAAAUGUUGUGAUGGUGAGGGAGGUGAAUGUAGGAGCUCAUGGGAUGCUUCUUAUUCUUGCCCAAAGCUUAAAUGUCUUCCAUGGAAGUAUCAGUAACCAUUUAUAUGAAUAUAUGAUUAAUAUUACUAUAAGAUUAAAGCUAUGUCUUUUACUAUAAAUAUCAAUUUCAGAUAACGAAUUGAUGAUGAUACCCUAUAUUAGUUAUUUUUAAAUACAAUAAAAUAAAACAUUUCAAGUUUUACUUGUAA